UCAUAAUGGAUUUUAUUUAUUUAACUACUCUUUUUUUUUUUCUUGAUUAGUCUGGCUAAAUACCACCAUGUACUUCUGAACAGGGUAAGCAGGAAAAUGUCAGUUUUUCCAGUGGCAAAAUGAGAAGAUAUCUUCCAUAUACUGGACAUAAAAUUCCUAAGAUUUAGAGCUGAUUUUCAGCAAAACUAUAUAACGGGUGAAGCAUAUAUUUGAAAUCCUGCUCUUUGAGAAUUAUACCCUCUCCUCUCUAAACUAGUCAUCCAGUUUGCCACCUGGUUGGUCCCACUCUUUAUAUACCCGCUUCUGUAGGCUACACAUCAAUACACUUACCCAACCCUUUUUGCUAAUCUAAUGAAGUACUUCAUGCUAGCAUAAAAGAGGCCAGUUGUGAUUGUCAGGAUAUGUUAGCAGCAGGCAUAUAAGCUCUUCGAAUCUGCUAGAUCAUGCAGUCUUCAAAGGUGGGGACCAUUGCAUCUUUCUCUAAUCCAUCACGUUCCUGCACUACAUAUACUACUAAGUGAACAAGUAGAAGAGUUGAUACAAAAGUGCAUUUAUUAUUACAUCACCUUACAUCGUCUCCUCUUAUCCAUGGUCUCAGUUACCCAUGGUCAGCUGUGGUCCAGAAGCCGAUGAUCCUCCUGGUAUAUCUUCAGAAUGUCAGUAGUAGCCGAACACUACACCACAGCACCCACAUCAUUCCCUUCACUUCAUCUCCUCACCUAGGCAUUUUACACCUCGGCAUCACAAGGGGAAGGCAAUAUUAAGAGCAGUUUUCCCUGAAGCAGCUGGUAUCCACCACAUGGAUGUUCACAGCGUGAUUCCCAUACACACAGCGGAACUUCCUCGGGCUUGUAUGAUGAAGCCAAAGCUGCUGCCAACCCUGUGAUUCUCUUCAGAACUGGUGGGUUUUUCCUGGAUUGAGUGUGAAUGUGCUGAUUCUUCUAGAAUGGAAGACAAGUACUAAAUGACUUGUGCAUCUCUCAUGCCUUCUGGAAACUCAUGCCUGGAAGACACGGCCACUCAUUCCUAUGCUGCGUGGUGGCCUUUAAGAGGGCGACAGCAGCCUGCCAGCCUUCUGCAGUUGACUUGACUGCCGGCCAGGGCGGUGGUGACAAUUUCCUGUCCUAGAAUGAAUUCAAAGGAAAGCAGCUUCUCUUCUGUCUGGGACUGGGAACUCCUAUCAGCCUUGAGAGGAAACUCAGGUGAUGAAGGGAAUAAAGCCAUCUCGGAACCCAGACAAGGGAUACGGCUUCAUCCACUCAGCCUCCUACGCCUGUGUACACACUUUUCUUUGCUGUCCCAGGAUGAAGCCACAUGGGUCUGCAUAGUGUCACUCACCUCCCUG